AAAAACCUUAGCUUCAAGGUUCUACCGAUGAUUUAAUGAAAGACCUCCUCCACCAUACCUGGAAAGGUCCAACAAUUAACGUUCGGACACUCAGCUACUUUAGUCAUGUAGAACUGGAACCAUUCGUCAAACAAACUCUGCUGCUGCCUGAGAAGGAGGGUUAUAGAAGGCCUCGCCCUAAAUUCUCCUCUAGUCUAACUCUCUUCCAUGUGCUAGGACUGUCUCGGGUGUUCAACUCCUUUAUAUGUGGCACAGACCUGGAGCAUUCUCUUGAUCCCUGGUAGCGAAGCAUGCAUUCAUGGCAUAGUUUUAUUUGCUCCACAUGAAUGGAUGGGAUUGGAAGGCGUCUGGAAUUUGCAAAGCGGGUGGAAGAAACAGCUGGUGAUCUCCGAG
rnacentral:lncRNA from 1 species